CCUACGGGAGGCAGCAGUAGGGAAUCUUCCGCAAUGGACGAAAGUCUGACGGAGCAAUGCCGCGUGAGUGAUGAAGGCCUUAGGGUUGUAAAACUCUGUUGUUAGGGAAGAAUAGGUAUCGGAGUAAUAUGCCGGUACUUUGACGGUUCCUUACCAGAAAGCCCCGGCUAAUACGUGCCAGCAGCCGCGGUAAU
rnacentral:rRNA from 1 species